GAUGAACGCUGGCGGCGUGCCUAAUACAUGCAAGUCGAGCGAACGGACGAGAAGCUUGCUUCUCUGAUGUUAGCGGCGGACGGGUGAGUAACACGUGGAUAACCUACCUAUAAGACUGGGAUAACUUCGGGAAACCGGAGCUAAUACCGGAUGAUAUUUUGAACCGCAUGGUUCAAAAGUGAAAGACGGUCUUGCUGUCACUUAUAGAUGGAUCCGCGCUGCAUUAGCUAGUUGGUAAGGUAACGGCUUACCAAGGCAACGAUGCAUAGCCGACCUGAGAGGGUGAUCGGCCACACUGGAACUGAGACACGGUCCAGACUCCUAGGGAGGCAGCAGUAGGGAAUCUUCCGCAAUGGGCGAAAGCCUGACGGAGCAACGCCGCGUGAGUGAUGAAGGUCUUCGGAUCGUAAAACUCUGUUAUUAGGGAAGAACAUAUGUGUAAGUAACUGUGCACAUCUUGACGGUACCUAAUCAGAAAGCCACGGCUAACUACGUG
rnacentral:rRNA from 1 species